rnacentral:rRNA from 1 species
UACGUAGGGAGCGAGCGUUGUCCGGAAUGACUGGGUGUAAAGGGAGCGUAGGCGGGAUGGCAAGUCAGAUGUGAAACCUGAGGGCUCAACCUUCAGACUGCAUUUGAAACUGUGGAUCUUGAGUGUCGGAGGGGCAAUCGGAAUUCCAGGUGUAGCGGUGGAAUGCGUAGAUAUCUGGAAGAACAUCGACAGCGAAGGCAGAUUUCUGGACGAUAACUGACACUCAGGGACGAAAGCAUGGGGAGCAAACAGG